rnacentral:snoRNA from 1 species
GAUCACAGUGAUGACUCCAUAAAAUUCAAGCUCAACAGACCGUAGGUCAGGGCUUUCUCUUUCGAGAUUGCUUUGCGUGUCGAUAAACCCGCUGAACUGAGUGAUC